rnacentral:tRNA from 1 species
ACUCUUGUGGUGUAAUUGGAAACACGCCUCCUUUUAGAGGAGGAGAAUGUGGUUAAAAUCCCACUCGAGUU